UAUCGACGCUACCUGCUCCGCGCGCAGCGCUGUCGGUUGAUACGAAAUUUCUUCUCAGCGAUGCUCUCAGUUGAUUUUGUGUGCUCAGUGAGGAAGUGCGCGCUUUUCUACAAGUUGUUCGUUACGUUUGGAUAUUUUCAGUGUGAUUGGAUUUUGUGCCCAACGACUGCUUGACCGGCCGGCUGCGAAUUUGGAACGAAAAACAGUGAGACGAAUGUGCGUGGAGAAGCAGGAAAAGAAACGGAAGAUAUACGAAGAGCCCGCUUAAUUUUUGAAAAACACAAGAAACGGUUUAGGGCCUACCAAAAGCCCAUGUGAAAAAUGUUAUUGUGUAUAUAUUAUUCGCUAAUAUCGCAAGGCGAUGUAAGAACUGCUCAUAACCGAAUUGGCAAUUAAGACACAUAAAAUUAUUUUGCACUUUUAUGAAGUUAGAAUUUAAGAUGCGAAUUAAUCAAAUAAUAUCCACAUAACACAAAGGAAAAUGUUAAAUAAUGGCAAGCUGUGAUUAAGUACGACUUUGAGCGCAGUAAAGAAAAUCAAAUUGGACAAAUAUAUGUGAAGGCAAUGUACGAAUGUGGCGAAAAAGACAAUGCGAAUAAGCUUAAGUAGUAAAACAAUUGUACAUGCCAAUACGUUUCUGUGAGUGUGAAGUUGCGAUUGUGUUCUUUUGUUUAGCACCAGCUCCACCGGCCCCCUCGUCAUGUAAACGGUUCCGUUAAAUGUACAUACGUUCUUACGGAACGUCACAUAUUUGUUAAGAACAACUAAAUAGUGGAGUUGUUGAUUUAAGUAAAUUGCAACAUAAAGCAAAAUACAAAAAAGCGGCAAAUCGGUGUUUGAUAGAAACUUUAAAAAUGUUCGAGCUGGAGGAUUAUUCAAGUGGCUACCACGAUGCAAUCCUUAAUAAGUACGCUGAAACAUCGCGACCGACAUUGGAUCUAUACAUCUCAGACUCGUUACAGGACAUGUUGGAUGUCGACAUUCGCAGCGAGAUUUCGAGUGUAGUGGGGGGAAGCAAUGAACUCGCUUCCCUGGUCAACGAUCUGCCGUCCUCUUUUGAUCACGCUAUCGACGCAAUUUCUUCCAUACACAACAGUAGUGGUAGUAAUUUAAACGCUGCUGGGUUAUCUUCCUCCACAAACAGCUUUUCCUCUUGGCUGGGAAACAUCUCAGGGCCGUCAUGGUCAUCAUCGAACGAUUACUUUGUCGAUUUGGGUGCUUGUGUGGAUCCGGUGUCCGUAAUGCCAUAUGUAUCCUCAUCAUUGCUACAUAAAUCGCCGAAAGUAAAUUUAAAUGCGAAUAGUUUACAGAAUUCCGUAUGUUCUCCACCACCCGCGUCACCGAACGUAAACGAAACCAAAUCACAUUUAACAUUUUCACCUGCCCAAUUAAAAGUUAGCGCCGGUGCGAUGCGCAACGAGCAGCUUUAUUCACACAUACCAAAGCAGAUAGUGGCGAUUUCAUCGACAGUGACAGCCGCCACUACAGCGCCGGCCACACUGGCGACGAAUUCAGCGCUCCAGCGCAAGAAUUCAAGUGCGGUGGAUACGAUCAAAAAGGAUUUAGGCAUCGAGUUGCGCAAGCUGACCACCACAACGACUGAUGAGAACAGAAUGAGUGCCACAAGUAACAGUGGUGGAGGAAAUGUGAACGCUAAGCAGACUGCUAAUGGCACCACAAAAAGCACUAGUAGUGGAAACAGUAACAUAAGUAGUAGUUUGCUAAACUCAAAUGGCAUGCUGAAUAGCACGACAACGAAUACCAUUAAACUGGCGCCCGGUAUUGGUGGUCUAACUUUUGCCAACAGCAUCGCUUACAAUAAAUUGAAGCAGCAAUCUAGUGCGAAAACUAUGCAAAAUGGACAAUCAGGCGUAUCCAACAACACGAUUAUGCUCAAGCGAGAACGUGACUCCAGUCCGUUACAAAAUAUAAGUGUUGUGAAUGUAAACGGUAGCAUUGGCGGUGGUCAACAACACGUCACAAAGUUGGUGGGCCGAAAUGUACAAAACUCCAGUUUUACACCAAAAAGCAUUGCAUCCGUACACUCGCCACUCAUGCAGAACACGAGCAAUUCGAUCGGUUCACCGUCGUCGUCUUCAUCCUCAUCGCACUCGUCACCGUCGACCGGUUCCAGUGGUGGCAGUUUUACCGCAGGUCUCGUACCAAUCACAGCGAACAGUAGUUCAGCCAAUGCAUCAUCAUCCUCUGCCAGCACUACAACUAUUACAACAAUAUCCGUAAAACCGUUACAACAGCGCAUCAAAGUGGCGCCAGUGGAGUCUGAGUUUCCGAAGCCUGCAUAUUCAUACUCUUGUCUCAUAGCCAUGGCGUUAAAAAAUUCUCGCAGUGGUUCCUUGCCCGUAUCAGAGAUAUAUAGCUUUAUGUGUGAGCAUUUUCCAUAUUUUCGCACAGCGCCGAGUGGCUGGAAGAAUAGUGUGCGACAUAACCUCUCAUUGAAUAAAUGCUUCGAGAAGAUUGAAAAACCUGCGACAAAUGGCAAUCAACGCAAAGGUUGCCUGUGGGCAAUGAAUCCGGAUCGCAUUGUGAAGAUGGACGAAGAAGUGCAAAAAUGGUCGCGUAAGGAUCCCAUGGGCAUACGUAACGCAAUGGUGCAUCCGGAUCAUUUAGAUGCAUUAGAGAGGGGUGAAAUGAAACAUGGCAGCUCAGGUGAUUCAGAUAUCGAAUUAGAUAGUCAAUCGGAAAUUGAGGAAACUUCCGAUUUGGAAGAGCAAGAACUCGACGACACCAUUGUGGAUAAUAUGUUUGUCGAGGAGGACAUUGAGGAGGACGAAAUGAUGAGUAGCGGUAUAGUGAUAAAUAAUUCGGAUGAACUCAGCGAGCCGGGUGAUGUGAGCAUCUGUGGUGCUGGCGAUGAUGUCGUUGGCAUGCAACAAAAUCGAGAUUUUGAUAUAGAGGUGAGUUUGGAGACACACAAAAUAAAAAGAGUGGAGAAGAUGGUGCAAAGAGUGCUUGAGCGUGAGCAGAAGGUCGAAGAUAUUUACGAUGCAAUUGAUAUUGAAGACGAUAAAGAAACAAUGCAACGGCACUUAACCGUAAAUACAUCCGACAUAAUUGAACUGAGUCCUGCCGAUUUGAACGCUGCUGCGCAAUCGCCAAAGCGUGCCCGCCUCAAUAUAAACUACUCCAUCGGCCCAGCCGGUGAGCUGGAGAAGCAAAUUCAACAACACAAACUGCAGCAACAGCAACAACUGGUAAUGCAAAAACAGCAGCAAAAACCAAAUCAUAUACAACAACAACACAGUAUCAAACAGUAUAAAGUGCAGCCACAGCAUAUUGUUGUGCAAACGAUAAGGAAUGGUAGCAAAACAACAUCGAUACAGGCGAUUAAUACAGCGACCGGCACCACAAUUGGCAGCGUCAGUGGCGCACUCUCCACCCUGUCACAGAUCAAUGGCGCCAUAUCAAAUAAUCGUCGCAAAAUACAAUUAGUCAAUCGAAUUGUUUAGAAAACAAGAAUUUAAACAAAUGAUUCGACACAAAGAGCCACUCAGGCAUUUGUUCCUAAAGAACACGUCUCUGGAUAGUGAGAACCAAGAAAUAUUCAUUUUAAAUAAUAUAAUAUGAAUAUAUUUAGUAUAACAAUAUGUAACACAAUGUAUACGCCGAUGAACGUAAGCGCUUAGUACUUGUGAUGUUUCGAACAAAAGUGAACAAAUUAUAAUAUUUCCCGGGCAGUACUUGUAACCCCGUUAGGGGACAUUAGUUCUAUUCGUUUUUAAAGCGAAUUUGUUAUAUUUCAAAUUUGUUAUAUUUCAAAUAUGCUACCACACGAGCGGCGAAGGAAGUAAUUUCCUUCAAAUAGGUUUUUAAAAUCGUAUGUGUCAAACACAGUUUUUAUUUUGAUUAACUACAUUUUUUGCUUUGAAAACGAAUUCACUAAUAAUAUUAACAAUACGAAAAUUUGCUUACAAAUACGCUUAAAAUGUUGCGUUGACUCCGCAUUGUGUUUAUGUGUUCAUAAUGAAUUAAAGGUUAAGUUGAAAACGCAUGGUUUCGAACAUAUUGCUCUAAAUGCAAUUAUUGAAAGUUAUUUUAGCAGUGAAAUAAUUGCAUUUUCAAGGCUACGCAUGCUCGCUUUAUAGCUCACGCUCUGUGCAUAUUAAAAAUACAAAAUAUUCAUUGAAUUCGCGUGAGCUCGAAAUCGAUACAUGUAGUUCUAAGUUCUAUUCCAAUAUUACAGUAAUCAUAUUGCAUAAUGACUUUUGUUUAAAAAAGUUUCCAAUAUUUUACAACUACUGUAAUAAUUUAAACUUAACAGAAGUUUUUUUUCUUUUAUGUAUUUUUUGUUCGCUUUAUAUAAAUUUCUAUAAUUUCUGACAACGAAAUUUAAUUUAGAUUUCAGUUCUAACACACAUUAGUUUUAUAACACACUUUUGGGCACAUAUCAAAUUUUAUGAACUUGACAAAUUAAUAUGCUCCACUUUGUAGCGCUUCAUUUACUUUUCCCAACUUGAUCUCUUUGUUAAGUAAGCUUUGUUUUUAAACGAUUUUCGACAAUUUUCGAAAGACGCACGAUUUCUAAUUUUGAAAUUUUAAUGCUAGGAACACAAUCGAAGCAAACGCCGCCAAGCUCUGGCAGUAAGGAUUUAAAAUGUUUAUUUGCUUAUAGUGGAGUGCUCAUAUGAAAUGCGAAGAAACCACUUUUGGAAAUGAGUAUUUUAAUUUAUUUGAGACAUAAUCUUUAAAUAAUAAACAUAAGGUUUGUUUCUGAAGUGCUAAAAGCUGCUAGCUACCAGGGAGCAGAAGAAUGCGAAGUUGUUGUCACAAAGAGUGAAGCAACGAAAAAGAAAAGAAGCGGAAAACCAGCAGAAGUAAGGAAACAUUUGAAUCUGUUUUAAUAGUCACAACAUACCAGCACUUGAGAACCAAUUAAUAGAUUUUUACUUCCACAAUACAAAACUAUUAAGAUAAACCAAAGCAAAGCUUCAGAUUUAGCUUGUUUACAGAUCGGUUUCCAUAUAGGGUAGUAGCUAGUGCUAUCAAAAAUUUUACUCUGCUGCUCUCUGCAGCUCUGUAAACUCUUACGCCUUCAACCCGUGCACUUUUCUGCUAUUUUUUCGGGCUGAGUAACGCUUUUCCAACAAAUUUACUGCAUGACACUUAGCCAUUCAGAAACAAACAUGUCAUUAUUUAGAGGAAAUCAUUGUUGAAAAAAAAUCUUUGGUGGAAAGUUGACUGUUUGGAGGUUGGAAUGAAUGCGGGCGUUUGUUUUGAUUGUGUACAAAACUUCUUCUUCUUAAUUGGCGUAGACACCGCUUAUGCGAUUAUAAAAUAUAUAUAUAUCUAUAUUAUACAAAACUAUAAGUUGUAAAUAAAAUACAAACAUAAACGCAAAUAAGUUUUGACUGAGCGAAAAGUCUCUAUAAUAAUGAAAAUAAUAUUAUUUUUGUACCUGCUGCACUUGUACAUACAUUUUAAAGAAAAGGGAGAAACAAAUGUUUCAAGUUUGUGGGACUUUCGUAUACUUAAUGGACGAUUUAUAUAAUAUAAUUUAGUUGUUAAUCGGCUCAAGAGCCCAAAUUUUGACCAACCAAAAACAAUGUGAAAUUGUGAAAUGCAGUUAUCAUACGUUUUUUGGGCGUAUGCACUUUUGGACAAUAGAAAUAUGUUUUAUUUCAUUGGAAAUAACUUAUUGAACGGCUCUGGUAUAUAGUCUGUGUACAGUUGCAUUUCAAGUCAUUCCUCACACCAUUACCUUUUAUAGAUUCUAAAUAAAAUGUAGCUUAUUAAGUCAUAAAUACAUAUGUAAAGCCAAUCUUGCCAGGUCAGUAUUUAAGUACAUAUAUUCAACUGAAAAUAUAAAAAAAAAACAAAUCUGCAAACAUUUUUUUAAUGUGCGGAACUACGUUCAUACAAUAGCAUAUACAUAUAUCCAUAUAUUUAAUUCAUAGUAAUGUAGAUAUGACGCGGUGGGUGUUUUACUUACCUCAUUCAAACAGUCAAUUGAACAAAAAAAUCAUUAGAAUAUAUACAAAAAUAAAUAGUAACAUAACCUCAACUUAUUAAAAUAUUUUGUAAAUAUUAGCGUUAAGGUUUCAACUAAAGUAGAUACAUACUGUAACUGUAUAACUUUAUUUUAGUUAUAUCAACGACAACUACACCAAAACUCGAUAAUUCGUUUACUCUUUGCAUUUGUAAUCGCAUUUAAUGAAAACGUUUUUUUUUUUAUUUUUUCUUGAAGCAGUGAUCCGGUUUGCCGAAUGCCCAAAAUGACAAAAGUACAAGAACAAGAAGUUUAUUAUUAUAUUUUUUCAUUUUAAAUUAAAUUGCCGUCAUCAAACUUAAAUGAAAUAGUACAAAUUUAAUUUAUAUUAAAAACAGGAGCAAAAGAAGAAACCUAACAUUCAGUGACGGAAUACAUAGUUCUGGCUAAAUCUUUAUUAUAAUUUUUACGUUUCCACACGUAAUCGCAUUUAAAGUCAUUUACUAUAGCACACAUGUAUAUAUAUCUAUAUCAACAUGUUUGUAUGUAUGUAAUGAAAUCGGAGAAUUUGGAUAUAUUCAGACUAUUGUAUGCAAAUGCAUUUUUACGCGUGUGUUGAAAAAUAUUUAUACACAUAGACAUAUAUAUAGGUAUACUAUAUAUAUACAUAUGAAUGAUAUGAAAUGUCAUGAGUGAUGUUGAAUGUCAGCGUGCGUUUAACUAUAGACCGUAAUGUUAGUUUGUAAGUUUGUAAUAGCAUUCUUAUUUUUAUAUCACACUUAGGUAAGUAGAGUGUAGUAAGGCAAAUGCGAAUUUGUAUGUGCAAACGCAAUUCGUUGUGGUUUGAAUAUGGGCGCGAAUGUUUCCUUUUUUGUAAAUGAAUGAAUUUUUAUAUCUCAAAUACACAACAAAAAUAAUAGAUUAGAAAGGAAGCUAAUUUUUAUAAAAUUGUUAAAACUUAUUAUUUAAAGUAUAUACAAUGAAAACAAAAACAAAAAAAAAAGAAAUUUAAAAACUAUAUAAAACAAAUAAAAAAAAUAUGAAAAGCCAGUCAUUGUUUUAUUUACAUACAUACAAGUAUAUUACUUACUGUCUAUCGAUGUGCAUCAUUCAAAUCUUAUUAUAUUAAAAAAAAUUAAAAUUUAUUAUUUAGGCAAAAGCGGUGAAAAAAUUAUUUAUUCAAAGAAUUAAUAGUUGGAAUAGCUAAAAACUCAAGCUUCUUGCCAAGAGUGAUUCUGAAAUUAAAGCUCUGAUGGACCCAGUAGACAUUUAUAUUGGAUUCGAGGGAUCUUCUUCAUCGUUUAUGAAUGUAAUUAAGAGCCGUUUUUUCAAUGUCUUCAAUGUCUGGUUAGCAGCCUUCUGUCAGUUAAGUUCUAAACUUAAUCAAUACUGGUUUUUAAGCAAAAUUCAUUAUUUUAACCGGAACAGAUGGCUACUAAUCAGACUGAGAAAACGUCCUAAGUUGUCUGUAAGCAAGAUAAAUCGAACACAACAAAGGUCAAUAAUGGAUAAAGAAGAUAGAGAAGAAGCUUGAGGACCACAAGUAUUACCAUCAAAUGGUAUUUAACCGAUGUCAUGAGUCUAACUCACACAAAAGAAGAGGAGUUUAUUUAAUGGAGUUGAUAUACAUAUAGGUUGAAAUGGACUUCGCAUAUAAAUACAAAAUAUGGGAACCAUAAUAUUUGACUAUUUCUUGGACAUAGGUUUAAUGAAUGGGUUCAUAUUAAAGGAUGAUCCAUUACGAGGUUCCCUACUUUUUAAACAAAGAAACUUCAAGUUUAUUGUUUAUUAUCUCUUUCAACAUGUAUCCACAGGGAAAAGUCUAACGGUGUGAUAUCACAGAGUAUUGGUGGCCAAUCGAUGGGCCCAAAAAGUGAAAUUGUCUGCUCACUGAAGUAUUCUCUCAAUAAAUCCAUUCGACUGAUGUGAUGUGUGGGAAGUGUCUUGUUGAAACCAAAUGUCGUCGAGAUCACGGGGUUCAAUUUAAUUUAGUAAUAGUAGUAAUAGUUAGUUAUCAUGGCCAUGGUCGCCAUUGACGGCUACGUUCUCAUCGUCAUUAUUUUUUAAGAAAUAUGGACGAUGAUUCCUCCAGUCCACAAACAACACUAAUCAGUUUUUUUUUAUGAAAUGGUAGUUUCUGAAUUUGUUCAGAUUGCUCUUUGUCCCGAAUGCGGCAACUUUGUUUGUUUACAUACUUAUUUAGCCAGAAAUUGGCCACAUCGCUGAACAAAAUUUGGCUCGAAAACGUCGGAUCUUCAUGGAACUUUUUAAGAGCUCAUAGAGCUAAGAGAUGAUGUACGAGGGCUGUCCGAUAAAUAACCGACCUAACCAUGAUGAACGCGACUUUUUCAAUUUUUUUUUUUUAUUUUUCUACAUACACCCCUAUCACGCAUUUCGACUUGGAUUGAAAUUUUCUCCGUUUGGCGACUUUGGUAUCAUGCGUUCCGUUCCCGUUCAGUUCUACUUCGAAAUUUACAAUUCUGCCUAUCAUGCAUUUCGAUCGUAGCUCCGUUUUGCUAAGUUGCAAUUUUGUUGGCGGAGAACUUUUUGUGUUUUUAUUUUGCUGAGAAAAUUUUAAUAUUUGCGUGAUUUUUUUUUAAUUUUCUAAAAAUGUAAGUAAAACUUGUAUUUAAGAGUUGUAAAACACACGAUAUUUCCAGUUUUAGUGAUGUUUUUUGAUAUGCUUUCAGGUCAAAAACAACAACACCAGAGCAAUAUGGAAAAUUGGCAGAUAUGAUGGAGAGUAAGCUAGAUAUAGCCAACGGUUUCCACCAGCGUCCUAAGGAAGAUGUGCAGGCUUUUUGGAAAGAGCCCGUCAUUCAUCUGGAAGGGAUCGCACAUAUCUCGUAAUCUUCUCCUUUCAAUUCUCAUCCCAGCAUUCUGAGAUGCGCUGCUCUCCUCCUCAACCAGUAAUAUCGCCGCGGAUAAAGAUUCCAUAGUUACGUUUAAUAAAAAUAAUAACAAUAUAAAAAUUUUA